rnacentral:tRNA from 1 species
AGGGGCGUAGCUCCAAUUGGUAGAGCAGCGGACUCCAAAUCCGCAGGUUGCAGGUUCGAGCCCUGCCGCCCCUGCCA